UAAAACUUCGAAGAGCUUUGGGUGACAAUUACAAGAAGUAGGGGCAGGCAAAUAGAAUCUCUGAUCCUACAAGGCAUGAAUGCCCGAAGAGUACUUAACUACUUUGAAGUUCUUCCACUACUUCACCGUUUCCCGUUCUUCUAAUCUCUAAUUUUCCAAACAUGAAAUCUUUGGACAAGAAGGGGCUUCAGCAACUGAUAAAUUGAUUGAAUGAGCUAAAAUUCUUUUAGGAAUCUCCACUCAGAAUAUAGGAGAUGGAAGAGCUUGGUUUUGAAUACACAAAGCAGAGGCUUGCAUAUACAUGUUGUAGGCUCAGAAAUACCAAUCAAUACCUUUUCUUCAGAUAGCUGCUAUGUGGGAAGAAGAAGAAAAGAUUCAUUUUGAUGAAUGGGUUUUUGACUAAAGAGAAAAUGGAAGCUUGCAUUGGAAAUCUGAUCUCGCUUGUCAGCUAGGGACCUUUUGAGGUAGCUUACACUUAUCAGAAUCAUCCUUCUUACACAUUCACCAUCAAGCUCAUGAGGCAUCUCCACCCUCCUUGUUCAGCAAAGGGGCCAGUGUCCGAAGAUUUGAGAUAUCUUCAUCUGCAAUUCAAAUACCAGGCAAUGGAUUCUGCUGAGGCCCACUAAAUUGUUAUUGGUGACAUCUUUGGAUUUACAUUCUCGCCAUUUGGUUCUUUGUCAUAGAUGGCCCCAUGCUUUAAGAUUAUUGAUUGUCCAAGAGUUGAGUCGUUUCCCCAAGGGGGCUUGCCUUCCAAUGUUGUAGAUAUUGAUGUCUUUACAUGUGACAAACUCUUUGCCGGUCGGGUGCGAUGGGGUUUGCAAAAGCUCCCGUCUGUUAGAAAUUUGACAAUUUGUGGUGAAUAUGAAGAUGUGGUGUCUCUUCCAGAGCCAGGGUUGCUGCCUUCUGGUCUGACUUUUUUUCGUAUCACUGAAUUUCCAAAUAUGAAAUCUUGGGACAACAAAGGGCUUCAACACCUCACCUCUCUUCAACAUUUGGAGGUCUGGAACUGCCCUAAGCUUAAUUGCAUGCCAGAAGAGGGGCUGCUUACUUCCCUUUCUGUAAUAGAGAUCGAAGGAUGCCCUUUGUUGAGGAAACAGUGGCAAAGCAAGAUAGAAAAAGAACGGCGAAAAAUUCCUGACGUUGAUCACAUAGUGAUCGAUGGGGAAGAAUAUAUUGGAUGAACCAAAAGCCCCGCAAGAGUCCCAUUUUCUGUUAUAAUAUCUCGAAGGCGGCAACAACAUAUUCAGCUUUCACAUUUAGAAUUUAGAAGAUUGAUUACGAGUACAAGAAGCAAAGAUGGACAUAUGGAAUAUGUGAUCUGUGAUAAAAUUUCCAACGCCUAAUACUUGGUUCAAUUUUUCACGCCCAUGAAUUGUUUUUGUUUUUUUUUGUUUUUGGAAGAAUGUAACAUAUGGAAUAUAACAAUUUUUCACGCACAUGCCAGAACAGAUCUGCUUAGAUUGCAAUGCAAGUGAAGGUGUGAAAUUUGCUUCACUACUUGGAGCAAAUUGGAUCAUUGGUAUUAUGAAACAGAGUUCUUCCUGUACUUCACCGUUCUGGUGAUGAUAAAAUCAAAGGCUGUUGGUCUCUUUAAAUUUCACUACCAGAAAUUAUUGUGAAGUCCGUAUAAAGCUUGGGAUGCUCUGCGAAUAUACAGCUGCUGCAUGCCAAUCUCCUUCCUUGUAAGAGAAUUCCUAUCCUCACUUUCACAACGAAGCUGGACUUGCAUUGUAAAUCCCCUCUAUUGUCGAAACUGAAAUUAUCUUUUGAGUUUGGAACUUUUUAUCAAAACAGAAAGGAAGACAAGUGAAUGAUUUUGCCUCAGCAACUUCAUUCGUCAGCAUAUGUGUUUGAUACCAAACAGAUUAUUUAAUCAAUACCAAAGUUGAUCUUUGUUGUAGCAUUUCUUGGUUUGCCUUCUAUUUUCCUACUGUUUCUCAUGCAUAAUCAAACGGUCAAAAAUUCAAUCUUUCCUUAUCAGAUUUGAAGCAUAAACCCUCUACCUUUUUUUCCCAUCCUUUAUAACUUAAAAGCGACAAACUUCCCCCCAAAACAUUGCUACCAAUCAGCUAGGUUGUACUAUUGAUGAACAACAUUUAGGCCAUUUGUUCAACAUAAGAAACUUAACAAUUCUCUACUUGAAAAGAAAAUUAAACAUUACAUAUAAUAUCUGAUAACUCAAAUGUAAGUGUCAUUAUUUAUUGAUUCAGGCAUUUAGUUAUUUUCUAAUGAAUAUGUUCUUGUUGGACUUAUGGUGUGGUGCCAAAUCAAGAUCAUGGGAAAUUCGUUCUGUUUUUUGAAGUGUAGGCUUUGAAUUGCUAUUCUGUAUUCCUUUCUCUCAAAAGCUGGAACAUGGGAAAAGUUAAUCAAUAGCUGUAGAGAAUUUUCUUGUGGCUGCUGUAUGAUAUCUGUUAAAGUGGCUGAUUUGAUUUAACAUAACAAAAUACCAGGCUACUUUAUAUCCAGCCGGCAUUGCACCAAUUGGAAACUAGUACAGUUUCUGAUACCUCCAGUAAUCAAAAUUUUGAGAUGAGAAACUACGGCGGGGUCUUAGAUGGUGUCCUUACGUGUUUAUUGGACAAAGCAGUUCUCUGAAGUCCUGUUGAUCUGAGAAGUUUCUUUGUAUAUGCAGCUGUUCCAGUUAGUUAACGAAAUUUAGGAGAUGGAAGAGCUCUAUUUUGGGUACAGAAAGCAGAGGCAUGGCAUAUAGAAUCUGAUGCACCACUUCUCACAUCAUCUGAUGCACAUGUAAUCAAAGUCUAGUGGCGACCUGUUGAAGUUGGUUUGUGGUGCCAAAUCAAGAUCACUGGAAAGUUUGGAACUUGUAUUUUGUCUACAGUAUUUAUUUGAGAUAUCUUCAUCUGCAAUCCAAAUGCCAAGCAAUGGAUGCUGCUGAGGGCCACUAAAUUGUUGUUGGUGACAUCUUUGGAUUGGCAUUCUCACCAUUUGGUUCUUUGUGAAAGAUGGCCCCAUGUUUGAAGGUGGUGAACAUUCAACAUUCAAACUUUGACCAAAAUUCUCAUUGGAGACAAGAAAAUGGAAAACUUCCCUUGAAGCUUGCAAAGAUCAUGAGGAAUGUUGGUAUUUUUGACAUAUUGAAAAUGUUCUGUUUCAAUAUUUCACCAAUUAAGAGUCAGUGAGUGCUUAAUUUAGCUUUGACUUUCAAUUCAAUUAGUUCCUUUGUCUGGAUGCAAGUUGUACAUUAUAGUAUGACUAGGAGUCAGGAUUAUUUUCAUUUUAAGAUACAUAUAUCAAUUUAAGAGUACUUUCCAGGAAUAAUUGUUUUCCUUUUUCUCUUUACAUUAUCGAUUGUUGGAUUAAAAUAU